rnacentral:rRNA from 1 species
UACGAAGGGAGCGAGCGUUGUUCGGAAUCACUGGGCGUAAAGCGUGCGUAGGCGGAUAAGAAAGUCAGGAGUGAAAUCCCAGGGCUCAACCCUGGAACUGCUCUUGAAACUCCUUGUCUAGAGUAUGGUAGAGGAUAACGGAAUUCCGAGUGUAGAGGUGAAAUUCGCAGAUAUUCGGAGGAACACCAGUUGCGAAGGCGGUUAUCUGGGCCAUUACUGACGCUGAGGUACGAAAGCGUGGGGAGCAAACAGG